UACGUAGGGAGCAAGCGUUGUCCGGAAUCAUUGGGCGUAAAGCGCGCGUAGGUGGCUUCGUAAGUCCGUUGUGAAAGUCAAAGGCUCAACCUUUGAAAGCCGAUGGAUACUGCGGAGCUAGAGUACGGAAGAGGCGAGUGGAAUUCCUGGUGUAGCGGUGGAAUGCGCAGAUAUCAGGAGGAACACCAAUCGCGAAGGCAGCUCGCUGGGACGUUACUGACACUGAGGCGCGAAAGCGUGGGGAGCGAACAGG
rnacentral:rRNA from 1 species